GUGCAGCGGGGAGGCGCUGCGGUGGCUGCGGAUCCUGUUUGCAAUUUGGGUGAUCAGCAGCCACACGGAUAAUAUGUUGGAUCUGAUUGAAAUAGCCACACAGAACAUUUUCACUGGAUGGAUGCUAGAGCUUUUGGUCUUCCGUGUUGACUGAUAUAUUCAUGUCUGUUCCAGUUAAGUUGAAUGCUUGCUCUCGAUGUAGAUGAAUUAGUAUCCAUACAUGUUGACUCUAGAAUCGACAGUGCCAUUUGCAUAUGUUGCUGAUGGUUUCUUGAUUUGGUCUAUACUAUUCUGCGCGCUAACAUAUUUAUCAUGUUUUGUUUUUGUGCAAGGACAAUGAGGAGGAGAAGUAGAUGACAACAAGGGUAAUCUAGCUGGAACCUGUAGUUGCUGGCUUGCUGCUGCCAGUUGUGGUGUAUGUUUGACUGUCGAAAACACAGCAAAGAUCAUGGCGAAUUUUUGAAAGAGCCUGCUUUAAUUGAUUAAGAAGAGUAAGGAUUUAAUUCGUCCUAUGAUUUCUUCAUAUGCAGUCAU